UGGGGAAUAUUGCACAAUGGGCGCAAGCCUGAUGCAGCCAUGCCGCGUGUGUGAAGAAGGCCUUCGGGUUGUAAAGCACUUUCAGCGAGGAGGAAGGUGGUGAGCUUAAUACGCUCAUCAAUUGACGUUACUCGCAGAAGAAGCACCGGCUAACUCCGUGCCAGCAGCCGCGGUAAUACGGAGGGUGCAAGCGUUAAUCGGAAUUACUGGGCGUAAAGCGCACGCAGGCGGUUUGUUAAGUCAGAUGUGAAAUCCCCGGGCUCAACCUGGGAACUGCAUUUGAAACUGGCAAGCUAGAGUCUCGUAGAGGGGGGUAGAAUUCCAGGUGUAGCGGUGAAAUGCGUAGAGAUCUGGAGGAAUACCGGUGGCGAAGGCGGCCCCCUGGACGAAGACUGACGCUCAGGUGCGAAAGCGUGGGGCAGCAAACAGGAUUAGAUACCCUGGUAGUCCACGCUGUAAACGAUGUCGAUUUUGGAGGUUGUGCCCCUUGAGGCGUGGCUUCCAGAGCUAACGCGUUAAAUCGACCGCCUGGGGAGUACGGCC
rnacentral:rRNA from 1 species